rnacentral:rRNA from 1 species
AGGGCACCACCAGGAGUGGGGCCUGCGGCUUAAUUUGACUCAACACGGGAAAUCUCACCAGGCCCGGACACCGGAAGGAUUGACAGAUUGAGAGCUCUUUCUUGAUUCGGUGGGUGGUGGUGCAUGGCCGUUCUUAGUUGGUGGAGCGAUUUGUCUGGUUAAUUCCGAUAACGAACGAGACUCUGGCCUACUAACUAGACGUUGGAUCCCUUUGUGGGUCCAUCGCAGCUUCUUAGAGGGACGGGCGGCGUUUAGCCGCACGAGAUUGAGCAAUAACAGGUCUGUGAUGCCCUUAGAUGUUCUGGGCUGCACGCGCGCUACACUGAAGGAAUCAGCGUGUGUUCCCUAUCCGAAAGGAUUGGGAAACCCGUUGAACCUCCUUCGUGAUGGGGAUUGGGGAUUGCAAUUAUUCCCCAUGGACGAGGAAUUCCCAGUAGGCGCGAGUCAUAAGCUUGCGUCGAUUACGUCCCUGCCCUUUGUACACACCGCCCGUCGCUACUACCGAUCGAGUGAUUUAGU